GCUAGCCCAUUUAACAGAGCCCAAACCAGCCUAACCCUAAUUACCCUUCUCCCUCCCUCGUGCCUCCGCCGCCACUUCACCUUUCUCCUCGCGCUGCUCCAUGUCGGCGGCGCCAGCGCCGAACCACCCCACAUCUGGCCACUCCCCACCUAUCCCAGCCCGAACCCCCCAGUCAACCCCACGCCAUGCCCAUCUCCAUUCAUAUCGCCCCAUCGAGCUAUGGCAACCCAAUCCUACCCCUCGAUCUGAGGCGGCAGUGGUGGCGGCGGGACCAACUGCCGGAUUUGGAUGUCCCUGAGGUUGCUGGCGGCGGGCACUGCCCAACUCCAUCUGGCGGUGAGCGGUGGUGAGGUACAGGAGGCGGAGACAACGCCACAGAUCCAGAGUACAUCGGCGGCCCUUGUGGCUGGGUCCAAUUUUCCGUCAGCCGCGCCACCGUCGGUACCCUCGUCGUCGCAGCCGUCUUCUCCAACCGUGGUGCGCAGUCUCCACACUUCGCGGUUCACCUUCUCCGGCCGGCAAGGCCCAAGAAAAAGUGCCAUGGAUAUCACAUCCUGUGGUUCUGCGCAUAGAUAGGCCUCCUCCUCCUCCUCGUGUGCUCCACUGUGUCCAUGGCGCUCACCCCGUACGGUACCGCCUCUCCAGUUCCCAAUCCCACCCCUAAAUCGAUGGAUGGAUCUCCAUGGAUGCUCGGGCGCGGAGGACCUCCUCCCGUAGGAUCCACGGACGCGGCGCACCCUGCAGCCGCUGGUCCAGGAAGAGGGCGGGCACCGCGGCUUGUCCUGCUCGACGAUGGUGGCGGCGAAUGCGUGUGCUGCUCCUCAUCCUGAAACUCCAAGGAGGAGUGCCAAUACAACAUAAGCACGCCCCGCCACUGAACAAUGGCCAUGGCGCUAGGUAAGCGGUGUACAGGACGUCCUCCUCAUCGAAGCGGCCAUCCAUGACAAGCUCUCUUUGCUGGAGGAGGUGGAACAGCAAGUCCAGCACCCGCUUGGCCCCUGUGUCCUAUUGCGCGUGGACAAGCUCACCAAUGGCUGCGUCUUCCUUCCCUCCUACAGUAGUGGCGAGCUUCUCCCCUCUCCCCACUUUCCCCCCAAAUCUGGAUGACAGUUGUAAUCUGAAUACAAAUCAUGUUUUGCUUCAGUUUAGAGGUGGAUUCACUUUCCGAGAUGAACGUGUGAGCUUGAUUAGUUGCCGAUGGUUUUGUGGGUCUGAUUCUCUUGCACUAUUACACAUAAUUUAAUUAGGGCAAGCUAAUUCUAAUCCACAUAAUAUGAUGUAGCUAUUUUUUUCUAACCACUGGUCUUCAUGUUGCGUUCGUACUCAUCUUUUGGGACUUAAUUCGGAAGUCACAGCUUGUUAGAUACAAAUUCAGCUGUGGCUUUGUAUCUUCCUAGAAUGGACUUGUUUUACAAAUGCUUAUAUGUAGUACUUGAGAGCAAACCUAAAAAUUGUACUUCUAUCAUCAGCAUCUUAGAACUGUAACUCUAUAUUUUGUUGUCUUGUUAGUAUAAAAGAAACAAGUUCCUAUUCUAAAACAUAGAGUUUAGGAUUCAGAUUGCAAUGGACAACAAUAAUUCUGUACAUGGUAACUGAAUUCCCUCCAGUUCAAUAUCCCAAUAUCCCACAGUACAUAUAUGAUACAUCAAUUAUCACUUCUUUUCAUACCAAAGGCUUGGGUAAUCCCUUUCGAUGGUUGAAAUGAAGAUUUUAAUCGUGGUAGUCUGCUUUCUCCAUCUUAGGUUCACACUGUGGAUGCAUCAUAGUAUGAUUGAUUGUUGUACGAGAAGCUAGUAUUCUUUUUUUGUUGUUGGAAGGUACUUGUGAUAUUAUUAUUCUCCUGUAGCAUAAUAACCUUAUUAAGAGAAAAAAGGUUUGUUUCCUUUCUGUUCUGAUGUUUGCCUUUGUUACCAGGAUAAAAGUAUUGCUUAUGUUAUUUAUUUCUUAUAGUAAGUACGAAAGUGCCUUCCCUUGAUUUAAUUUUUAUACUUUUUAUACUUUAUAUUUCACAACUCAUGAGAGAUCAAUAGUAGGAAUUUCAGAAUGUUUUCAUAGCAUGAUUCAAUUUUAGUGUAGUGAUAGUCUGGAACUUCAUGUCAAAUAAGCACAGUGAAGUUUACUGCCAACUCUAUUGAUCUAUGUAUGCUCAUCAUUCCGUUUUGUUGCCGUCGGUUGUUUCUUUUCACACGAUUGAUUUUGUUGCACUACUUUACAUCGCGGGAGUGAAAAAAUAUAGGACUUGAUAACAUGUACUCCCUCCCUUGCUAAAUAUAAGUCUUUUCAGGAAUUUUAAUAUGGACUACAUACGGAGCAGAAUGAGUGAAUCUACACUUUAAAAUAAGGCUAUAUUUAUUCGUAUAUAGUCCAUAUUUAAAUCUCUAAGAAAAAUUAUAUUUAGGAACGAAGGGAGUAGUAAGUUACUUCUAGUUUAACCUACUGGCUAUAAUACUAUAUAUUGUGAUAUAUUUUUUUAUCAUGUGGCAGAUAUUGGUUUAUGGGAGCAUUUUCAACAACGAAGACAUGUGUUCUCACGACUUUGUGGAGGGGUGGAUCAAACGGCUAGGAAUGUGGGACGACCCGUGAUUGAUGUUCGACGAGCGUUGGGCCUUGCUUGAUGGGGGCGGCGCUGGUUGUAGAGUAGCAUAGUGUUCUUUUUUUGGCUCUUUUUUUGCUCAUGUAUAGGUAUUUUCUAGUGUGUUUAUGUAAUCUUCUUUUUUAAUGACAUGAGCGUAUAUUUUUUUAUCAAAUUAUUAUUGGCUUAAA